rnacentral:rRNA from 1 species
UUCCCUCGUACAGUCAGCAUCAGUGCAACAGGCUAAGGUCAAGACGGUUCGCCUCGGCGUUUCAUUCUAUUAUUCUCUUACCUUAUUUUUAUGUUGUGACCUCUGACCUCCAAAUUGUGUCACUGGGUAUCUGCAUAAUUUUCUGUCUCGCUUUUACUUGAUUGUUGCUUGUUGAUGUUUGAGGCAGAUUUGUUUCCGUCGUUUUGAGGCCUUUCCCUCGUCACCCUUUUAUAUUAGCAUUUUUUGUCUUGGGCAUUUGAGUAUGGCUCACGUGUAUUUAUUGGACAGAUCUGAGUGUAAGUUACGGUCGCAUGCGACACGUGCUUUUCAAUUAGUUCGGUCCAGUUAAUGCUCUCGUACUCGUUCCCCAUGUAAAAGCCGGUCAUCUAUCCGACCCGUCUUGAAACACGGACCAAGGAGUUUAUCGUGUGCGCAAGUUUUUGGGUGUUAAAAACUUAAAAGCGAAAUGAAAGUAAAUGACUCUUUAGAGUCUGAUGUGCGAUCUUGUAAAAAAGUGUAGCAUGGCCCCAUUCUAACUGUUUACAGUAGGGUGGCGGAAGAGCGUACGCGGUGAGACCCGAAAGAUGGUGAACUAUUCCUGAGCAGGACGAAGCCAGAGGAAACUCUGGUGGAAGUCCGAAGCGGUUCUGACGUGCAAAUCGAUCGUCUGACUUGGGUAUAGGGGCGAAAGACUAAUCGAACCAUCUAGUAGCUGGUUCCUUCCGAA